AGGCACGUGCAGAGAGAGAGAGAGACACAUGAGACACAGAGACACACACACACACACACACACACACACACACACACGUGAAAAGGAUUAAACUAGGUUCAAAGGAUUCGUGUUCUCCAAUUGCCUACAAUUAAAGCCCUCAGUAUGACUUUCAAAUAUUUAAAUUGUAAUAAAUUUUUUUAAAACAAAGGUAUCUGGUCAAAGAAGAGUCACAAGGGAAAUCAGAAAAUACUUUGAGAUGAAAGAAAAUGAAGACAACAUACCAAAACUUAUCAGAUACAAUUGAAGCGGUGCUUAGAAAUAAUUCCUUAAAAUGCCUCUACUAAAAAAGGGCAUCUCAAAUAAACAGCCUAAUCUUCCACCUUUAAGAUAAUGGAAAAAAAAAAGUAAAUUGUUCCAAAAGCAAGACAGAAGCAAGGAAAUACUAAAUACUAGAAUGGAAACUAAUGAAGUAGAGAGUACAAAAACUGCAGUGAAAAGUCAAUGAAACCAGAAGCUGAUUCUUUGAAAAGAUCAAAAUAGACAAACCUUUAGCCAGCUAGAUUGACCAAGAAAAUACAGAGGACAAAUUACUAAAUCAGAAAUAAAAACAGGCCAUCAUUACCUAGCUUACAGAAAUAAAAAUUAUACUAAUAAAAAAGAAAAAGAAAAAUUAUAAAAAAAACUUUUAUGUACAACUAUAUGCAACUAAAUAGGAAAAUUUAGAUGAAUUAGUCCAGUUUCCAGAAAUAAAAAAUCCCAAAACUUAAGAAAUAAAAACCUGCACUGGUGAGAUAAUUCCAAAAGAAAAAAAGAAAAGAAAUAAAAAAGCUGAGUAGUUGUAUAACAAAAGAUUUAAAUGGUAAUUUUUUUAAAUAGUAAUUUUUUAAAGCACCGUCAAAGAAAAAUCCAUGCCCAGGUGGCUUCACUGGUUAAUUCUACCAACCAUUUUCAGAAAAACUGACAGCAAUUCUUUACAAAUGCUUCCCAAUUUAUUCUUUGAAGUCAGUUAUUACCCUGCUACCAAGACCAGACAGACAUCACUAGAAAACUAUAGAUUGGUGUUUCUUCUGAAAUGCAAAAUUUCUCAACAAAAUACUAGCAAACUGAAUCCAGCGAUAUAAACAAAGGAUUAUAUACCACAACCAACUGGGAUUUGUUCCAGGAAUGCAAGCUUGUUUCAAGAUUCAGAAAUAAAUGCAAUACAUUAUAAAUAGAAAAAAAAAAAAAAAAGGAAUCACUCUUUGGUCACUCUAGAGAAAACUAACAACAACAACAAAAAAGUUAAAAUUUCCUUAAACUUUAAAAAAUGGGACAAAAGGUGGGGCAUGGUGAGUGCUUGCCUGUGAUCCCAGAACUACAUGAGGCAGAAGUGAGAGGAGCACUCAAGGACAGGAGUCUGAAACCAGCCUGGACAACAGAGUGAGACCCCUGUCUCUACCAAAAAAA